ensembl:lncRNA
UGGCUGAUUAAAUCACCUUUAUUAAAAGAUACAAGAUGCUGGAAUACCAACACUUUAGAAUGCAGAAGUACUUUACACACAGGCCCAGGCUUGUGUCCAAUAUGGCCCCUUAUUCACUAUAUAGUGCACUACUUUACACACAGGCCCAGGCUUGUGUCCAAUAUGGCCCCUUAUUCACUAUAUAGUGCACUACUUUACACACAGGGCCAGGCUUGUGUCCAAUAUGGCCCCUUAUUCACUAUAUAGUGCACUACUUUACACACAGGGCCAGGCUUGUGUCCAAUAUGGCCCCUUAUUCACUAUAUAGUGCACUACUUUACACACAGGCCCAGGCUUGUGUCCAAUAUGGCCCCUUAUUCACUAUAUAGUGCACUACUUCACACACAGGCCCAGGCUUGUGCCCAACCAAACUCACAUAGAGGCUGUAUCCAAUAUGGCCCCUUAUUCACCAUGUAGUGCACUACUUUAGACCAGAGCCCUAUUCCCUAUAUAGGGCACUACUUUAGACCAGAGCCCUAUUCCAUAUAUAGUGCACUACUUUAGACCAGAGCCCUAUUCCCUAUAUAGUGCACUACUUUAGACCAGAGCCUUAUUCCAUAUAUAGUGCACUACUUUAGACCAGAGCCCUAUUCCCUAGAUAGUGCACUACCUUUAACUACAGCAUUAUUCCAUAUAUAGUGCACUACUUUAGACCAGAGCCCUAUUCCCUAUAUAGUGCACAACAUUAUACUACAGCCCUAUUCCCUAUAUAGUGCACUACUUUAUACUACAGCCCUAUUCCCUAUAUAGUGCACUACUUUUAACCAGAGCCCUGAAUAGACCAGACACCUAAUCAUCUAUAUACAUCUUAAUCUAGCAUUGUGUUUCUCCUAUUAAUCACCCUGUGAAUGACUCUCUAUGGGUCCAGGUUAACACUCUAUAAAGGGAACAGAAUGACUCUCUAUGGGUCCAGGUUAACACACUAUAAAGGGGAACAGAAUGACUCUCUAUGGGUCCAGGUUAACACACUAUAAAGGGGAACAGAAUGACUCUAUGGGUCCAGGUUAACACUCUAUAAAGGGGAAUAGAAUUACUCUCUAUGGGUCCAGGUUAACACUAUAUAAAGGGGAACAGAAUGACUCUCUAUGGGUCCAGGUUAACACUCUAUAAAGGGAACAGAAUGACUCUCUAUGGGUCCAGGUUAACACUCUAUAAGGGGAACAGAAUGACUCUCUAUGGGUCGAGGUUAACACUCUAUAAGGGGAACAGAAUGACUCUCUAUGGGUCCAGGUUAACACAUUAUAAAGUGAAUAAGAGUCCAUUUGGAACACAGCUACAGUAGUAAUAACAAAGGUAUUUUUUGAUCAAAAUCCCUGUAAAUAUCUGCGGUAUCCUUGCCAACCCAUUUCAAUCUGCAGGUUGGUUUUUUUCUUUUCAAAAUCACAACGUGACAGUAAACCAGUCUUUAAAGAAAAAAGAGAUCUGAAACCAUGCAACACUCAACAAGCCCACGUUACAGUUACUUCUGGGUUCGCCACCGUUUUGAAUGGCAUCAUCAAUAUCAUCAUCAUCAUCAUCAUCAUCAUCAUCAUCAAUAUCAUCAUCAUCAUCAUCAAUAUCAUGAUCAUCGUCAUCAAUAUCAUGAUCAUCAUCAUCAAUAUCAUCAUCAUCAAUAUCAUGAUCAUCAUCAUCAAUAUUAUCAUCAUCAAUAUCAUGAUCAUCAUCAAUAUCAUCAUCAUCAUCAUCAAUAUCAUGAUCAUUAUCAAUAUCAUGAUCAUCAUCAACAAUAUCAUGAUCAUCAUCAAUAUCAUCAUCAUCAAUAUCAUGAUCAUCAUCAAUAUCAUGAUCAUCAUCAUCAUCAUCAAUAUCAUCAUCAUCAUCAUCAAUAUCAUCAUCAUCAAUAUCAUGAUCAUCAUCAAUAUCAUGAUCAUCAUCAUCAUCAUCAAUAUCAUCAUCAUCAUCAUCAAUAUCAUCAUCAUCAACACUUACAACACCAUAAGACUUCACACAACAGUGACAAGGACGUUUUGACGUUUUUUUUUUUGGGGGAGACAGAAUCGAUCAAAUCUCGAAGACCUCAUCCACUGAGUUUCCAUGACAGGACAAAACGGGUCACGUCGUAGAUAGAACGGGGUUCUCUUCUGUUUCAUUAGUUCGUUACCCGAGUCCAUCGCUGCCUUUAGGCCUCAUGCUUGGUGUUAAAGGGGGACAGUGACCCCGAGCAACAGAUAUACACUACACUUCAGCAAACUAACCACUGGCACCAAACACUAACCUGCUGCUCCCAGAUCAGUGUCUAACCUCCGUGUUGGCACCAAACACUAACCUGCAGCUCCCAGAUCAGUGUCUAACCUCCGUGUUGGCACCAAACACUAACCUGCUGCUCCCAGAUCAGUGUCUAACCUCCGUGUUGGCACCAAACACUAACCUGCAGCUCCCAGAUCAGUGUCUAACCUGCUGCUCCCAGAUCAGUGUCUAACCUGCUGCUCCCAGAUCAGUGUCUAACCUGCUGCUCCCAGAUCAGUGUCUAACCUGCUGCUCCCAGAUCAGUGUCUAACCUGCUGCUCCCAGAUCAGUGUCUAACCUCCGUGUUGGCACCAAACACUAACCUGCAGCUCCCAGAUCAGUGUCUAACCUGCUGCUCCCAGAUCAGUGUCUAACCUGCUGCUCCCAGAUCAGUGUCUAACCUGCUGCUCCCAGAUCAGUGUCUAACCUGCUGCUCCCAGAUCAGUGUCUAACCUGCUGCUCCCAGAUCAGUGUCUAACCUGCUGCUCCCAGAUCAGUGUCUAACCUGCUGCUCCCAGAUCAGUGUCUA